AAAGCAGGUCUGCAAUUGCAGCACUUCAUUUCUGUGGAGUGUUGUCAUUAAUCCUGCUGAGAGCAUCUUUCUGCUGUAGAGCUCUUUUCCCUGCUCACUGUAUUGAUGAAGGGGAAGCUCUGUAGCUGAACAUGUU